GAUGUGGAGAUGAUUAAACUGAGGCGGUCCGAAAGGCUUGUGAAGCCCGCCAAGGCUACGCUUUCACCAUUUGUAGUUUACAAAAAUCUCCGGCGGAAGCAAAAAAAUAUUUCAAAUAAUGAAGAUCAAUUAAUUGAAAAGAUAAAAAAUUGGGCACCAAGUAGCGGAGUUAGACAACUAACACUCACAGUAGGCGGCUAUGUUGGUCCUGAUUUCUGGGGGUCUUUGCUAGGCACUGAGGGGAAUGGCUGGUUAAGCGAUGAGCAUAUUUUUGCAUGGAUGCUACACAUGUAUAAUUCAAGAGAUCCAUCCGCUCGUUGGUCCAUUUUACCCCCAUAUUUUCAGAUGCAUUUGCAAACUCUAGAUCAGAAAUUCGCUUGUUAUUUCAACGGGAAAGUAGAGCCUUUUCCUCGGAUAUCUAGCGUUGACGAGGUGUAUGUACCGUUAUUUAUACCAUCAAUUCACUAGUUUUUAGGAGUUUUCAACCUCGUUAACGGGACCCUCACUAUUUAUGACAGCUUGAUGGGUAUGCGAGAUUUGGAUAAAGGAAGAACGGAAGUGGUUUGCCACAUCAAUUUUGUUUUUGACCAUUGGCUUCGUUUGCAUGGUUACUAUGACAACAAACCUUUACCGUUCAAAUUUCCGUUUCAAACAGAAUAUGCAAAUGAUGUGCCACAACAGUCAGGACCAUUAGGGGACUGUGGGGUUUGGGUUUGUAUAUUUCUAGACCGGUUGAUUAACAAAAAACCGCUAAAUGAUGGUGAAAAAACAAGCAUAACGGCUACAAGGAUGAGGCGCCAUAUGUUGACACUUUUCUACAACUCGCUUAUUCCUAAAGAAUUAGUCAACGAGCUAGAA